GUUAGUGAGAUGGUUUUGGUGGAGUGAGGAGCGCAGUGAGCAGAGGAGUUGAUGGGAGAUAAACAAAGAUGGCAAGGGUAGAACUAAAUGAAAUUUUGUUUUCAAUAGGAGAAGGGAAAUAGGAUGACAUGAGAGGCAGAUGAGACCUAAUGCCCUAGACAGCCAGAAGUUCCUUUGAAAAACUCCUAUUUUGAAAGGUAGAAAAAUUUCUGUGUCCCAGAGAGAAGGAAAUAUGAAGACUGGUGUCAAGAAAGAGAAAUGGGAGAGAGUUGAAUGCAUCCCUGCCGAGUUCUAUAGAAGGAGAUCUGGUCAUUUUCUAGACCAGUUACAGUUGUCAAAGUUCUUUCACAUAACUCUCCACUUCUAA
rnacentral:lncRNA from 1 species